rnacentral:rRNA from 1 species
GACGAACGCUGGCGGCGUGCUUAACACAUGCAAGUCGAACGGAGAGGCCCUGCUUUUGUGGGGUGCUCGAGUGGCGAACGGGUGAGUAACACGUGAGUAACCUGCCCUUGACUUUGGGAUAACUUCAGGAAACUGGGGCUAAUACCGGAUAGGAGCUCCUGCUGCAUGGUGGGGGUUGGAAAGUUUCGGCGGUUGGGGAUGGACUCGCGGCUUAUCAGCUUGUUGGUGGGGUAGUGGCUUACCAAGGCUUUGACGGGUAGUCGGCCUGAGAGGGUGACCGGCCACAUUGGGACUGAGAUACGGCCCAGACUCCUACGGGAGGCAGCAGUGGGGAAUAUUGCACAAUGGGCGGAAGCCUGAUGCAGCAACGCCGCGUGCGGGAUGACGGCCUUCGGGUUGUAAACCGCUUUCGCCUGUGACGAAGCGUGAGUGACGGUAAUGGGUAAAGAAGCACCGGCUAACUACGUG